UACGUAGGAGGCGAGCGUUGUUCGGAUUCAUUGGGCGUAAAGAGCGCGCAGGCGGCUUGGUAAGUCGGAUGUGAAAUCCCGAGGCUCAACUGUGAGCGGUCCCCGGAUACUGCCAGUCUCGAGGUGUCUAGAGGAGAGCGGAAUUCCCGGUGUAGUGGUGGAAUGCGUAGGUAUCGGGAAGAACACCCGUGGCGAAGGCGACGUGCUGGGCUGUAACUGACGCUGAGGUGCGAAAGUGUGGGGAGCAAACGGG
rnacentral:rRNA from 1 species